rnacentral:rRNA from 1 species
GUAGGUGGCAAGCGUUGUCCGGAAUUAUUGGGCGUAAAGCGCGCGCAGGCGGUUUUUUAAGUCUGAUGUGAAAGCCCACGGCUCAACCGUGGAGGGUCAUUGGAAACUGGAGAACUUGAGUACAGAGGAGGAAAGCGGAAUUCCACGUGUAGCGGUGAAAUGCGUAGAGAUGUGGAGGAACACCAGUGGCGAAGGCGGCUUUCUGGUCUGUAACUGACGCUGAGGCGCGAAAGCGUGGGGAGCAAACAGGGAUUAGAUACCCUGGUAGUCCACGCCGUAAACGAUGAGUGCUAAGUGUUAGGGGGUUUCCGCCCCCUUAGUGCUGCAGCUAACGCAUUAAGCACUCCGCCUGGGGAUACGGCCGCAAGGCUG